GGAGGGUACAGUUCAGUGGUGGAGUGCAUGCCUAGCAUGCAUGAGGUCCUGGGUUCAAACCCAGAACCUCCA
rnacentral:tRNA from 1 species